ACUAAAUAAAAUUAUAUUAACUACGAAAUUUAUUUUCUUCCCUAAAUAUGUAGUAUUUAUGACGAACUUGUUUGUCAUAAAAAGUAUAAAAAAGUCGUACAUAAUAGUGUGAUUUCAUCCCUAAAAAAGUUAAUGCGGACGAAAUUACCUCGUCACUAACUAUUUACUUUAAUUAGUGACCACAUCGAUCGUCUCUAAAACUAUAUGUAUUUCGUAGUUGAACAAACACAAUUUUGUCACUAAAUACUACCUUUUAUAUACAAAAAAGUAUAUUGUCCCUAAAAAUUACUGACAACUUUGCUUUUGUAAAACUGAUUUACAAUUUUGUAGUUGAAAACUAUUAUUUCAUCACAAAAAAUAUUAUUUUCAUAUGAUUAGUGACAAUUACAAUUGUCAUAAAACUAAGCAAUUCAUAGUCGAAUUAUGAUGUAGUCGUUCCUAAAAAAGGGCUACUAAAGGUAAAAAUUUUGGUUACUAAUUACAAACAUUUGAUUAUGUAUCGAUCCGUAAUGGUACUAUUUAUAAUUAGUAUUUUACUAUUUUUUUUGUUAAUCCAAAAAUUUAUCAUUGCAUCAAUUGGAAUACUUACAUAAUAAAACAUACAAGGUAAUAACAAAAAUCUGCAGCCGUGAUCAUAAAAUCAAGAACAAUAUUAAAAUAAUAUCUCAUUACAAAUCCCUAAAUUAAAACACAUAAAUAAAAUAAAUAAAAUUUAUCUAAUCGAAAUACAUGAAUAUUGAUUAUUGAAAAAAAAAAGUAAGUUGCUUCCCCAAAUGCUAGUGCAUGUCUAAUAGCUUCACUCUUGAAUAAAUUUCAAUCUUCAUGUACUUGCGAAAAGGAAAAGAAGUUAUAAAUUUAAUACAUACUUUUUUAUCACAUGAAUUAGAAAAAAUACAUUGUAAACGUAUAAUUACAAAUUAAAUAUUAAUUGAAAUUAUAGAAUGAGAAAUAAGUAUUGAUAGAGACACUUCUCCAAUUGUUCUUUAGCCAUUACCACAAGAAUUCAGACUGGACGGUAAACUUUUGAGCAGUUAAUCUCUGAAAAAUUAAACAAGAGUAGUCAAAAUUUCUUCAUAUGCUUACAAUUAAUUAAAAAAAUAAAAAUAAGAACACCCUAAUAAAUACAUACCUAAUUUGUAAUGCCCUAAAUACAUAUUGAAAGAAAGUAAAGUAGGUAAUAUACCUUGUCUUAAAACGCCCAUCAUCCUAGAUUUGAUCUUCUAUGCUUUUAAAUCAACAAAUAGUUUUGGAAAAGAGACACAUGGGAGAGAGGUGAUAAAUCGAUGGUGAAAUUGCAGAUUUUACUAGGGAAGCGGUUUGAUUUGGAGGAUGAAGUGAUACUUAACGUGAUAUGAGGAGGAAAAAUAGGGAGGAACUAAAAAUAGGCGGCAAUAGUCAAUUAAAAGAGAGAUUUGGGUGGGAAAGGAGGGAAACUUGCCGCUACUUUUUGUGAAACUGAAGAAAAAAUAGAAACAAUUUUUUUUUUCCAAAAAUUAAGUAUUUUAUUUUAUGAUGAAAGAAAAUUAAGUAUUUUGUCAAUGAUAAAAUAGUUUUACUGUACCAACUGCAAAAAUAUUGUUGCCAAAUUUAUUAACACUUUGAAUUUAUUGUAUUACCACAAAAUACCACAUGAGUAAUUUUUUUGUUAACAAGUAGCAAUUCAUUAUUAAAAGUAUUUAUACCAAUAAUUAAACCAAAUUGCUGCCAUUUAUUAAAACCUACAAAAAAUUAUUAUCUUACAUUGUGUAAAAUAUUUAACAUCGUCAACUCAUACUUUUAUUAUAGUGGAAACAGAGACGGAUCCAGUGUUUUAAAAUUAUAAGCACAUUAAUGACUUUAACAUAAAAUUAAUGCUUGUCAUUAUGUCAAGUGAUGCGGAAAGUAUUUUAUGACUUGCUAUUAAAUAUGCACAACUAUUGGAUAAGAUUUGGCUUAAAUAUGUUUAACUAAAAAUCUGAAAAACUAAUUCCUUAAAAGUUUUAAACUAGAAAUAUGAACUGAAGAAUGAAGAUGAGAAAUCAAAAAGUUUAAAACAAUAACCCAAUAGUUAAAUAAUAUUAAAUCAUCUAACCCGAUACCAAUAAUUCAAUAUCACUUUUUCUAGAGGAUGAUCAAUUUAUUUCUAGUUGCAAAUAUUCUAGAUGUAAAUGAAAAAAAAAAAGGAACACAUAUUUUGCAAAAAGAGAAAUUAAAACUUUUUCUCCUAAAAAUAUACCUAAACAAAAAUAGAAAAGGAAAAUAUCUUUUUUUGAAGGAAUAAAAUUGUGUUUAAGAUACAAAUGCAUUCAUAACAAUUCCUGACAUAAGUAAAGAAAUAAAUCGAUAUAAUUACAACUUUAAGAACAUAAAAUUUAGUUAUGAAAUAGCAAGAAGUCGAUCAAUAUUUUAUUUUAAUUUUUUUAUUUUUAUAAUAGUAUAGAUAUAUUAUUCAAACCACGAUGAAAUUAACAAGAAAAUAUACUACGGACUUUUUGAAAUUAUUGCUAUAAAUGAAUCUAUAAAAAUAAUUCCUGCAACAAAUUUGCAAUGAGUUGGUUAGCUGUAGAUCCUGAAAAAUUUAUAAUGAUAUUGUGGCUAAUGUUACUAAAUAAGUACCGAUAAUCCAUCUUUUUGAUGAAAACCUUAGUAGAUAAAAAUUUUGCUACGAAAUAUGUAUUUCGUCGCUAAAGUAUGUGACUUGUGCAUUUAAGUAUGAUUGUAACUUUUGUCCUAAAAAGUCAAUAAUUAGCGAUGAACUUUCUAUGGUACCUAAUAAUCUCAUACGU
rnacentral:lncRNA from 1 species